AAGUUAUGCCUGAUGACCAUAGCGAUUUGGUACCACCCCUUCCCAUCCCGAACAGGACCGUGAAACGAAUUUGCGCCGAUGAUAGUGCUGCAACCAGUGUGAAAGUAGGUCAUCGUCA
rnacentral:rRNA from 1 species